rnacentral:lncRNA from 1 species
GGUUUUCCUAAUGCAAAAACUUUGAACAAAGUAUCAACAUCUUCAAUCGUUGUUGUCUCAUCGAAUGAGACAGUGAUCUUGUUUUUGUCGACAAUACGGAGAUUCAUGUUGUGCUUGUAAGCUUCUUCAGCAAUCGUGCUUGAAUCAGCACAUGUUACUUUCACAGUGUCGAAAAAGGGGAGAUCUUGAACUUGUACUGUCCCUAACUUCUUCAAACCUGCAGCAAACGUGCCAGCUAGACCGUGGACCCGUUUGGCAAUGGUCUUUAGACCUUCAGGUCCGUGGUAAACACCGAACAUAGCAGCCAUGUUUGCAAGCAACGCCUAUCUGUACAAAUGUUGCUAGUUGCUUUAUCCCUCCUGAUAUGUUGCUCACGGGUCUGCAUCGCCAUACGUAAAGCCGGUUUCCCUGAAGAAUCAACGCUAACACCGAUAAUUCUUCCAGGCAUCAUUCGCUUAUACUCUUGGGACGUCGCAAGAAAAGCUGCAUGCGGACCGCCAUAACCCAUUGGAACGCCAAACCGCUGAGCCGAACCGACCACAAUAUCCGCCCCGAGUUCACCCGGUGGCUUCAAAACAGUCAAAGCCAACAAAUCACUAGCCAUGAC